rnacentral:rRNA from 1 species
CUGAACCAGCCAAGUAGCGUGAAGGAUGAAGGCUCUAUGGGCCGUAAACUUCUUUUAUAUAAGAAUAAAGUGCAGUAUGUAUACUGUUUUGUAUGUAUUAUAUGAAUAAGGAUCGGCUAACUCCGUGCCAGCAGCCGCGGUAAUACGGAGGAUCCGAGCGUUAUCCGGAUUUAUUGGGUUUAAAGGGAGCGUAGGUGGACUGGUAAGUCAGUUGUGAAAGUUUGCGG